GCUAUUUAAAAAACUUAAAAAAUUACUCAAUUUUAAAUCAUUUCCCUUCCAAAUAAAAAAUAUAUCAUCAAUGUAACGGCGAUAGGUGACCAAGUCCGCAAAAAAUUCACUAUGUAAAAUAAAUGUUUCUUCCCAAUACGCCAUGAAGAGAUUUGCGUAACUUGGUGCGAACUUGGUCCCCAUCGCCGUUCCAUUGAUUUGCAAAUAAAAACUGUCUUUAAACCAAAAAAAAUUAUUGGUCAGAAUUAAAGACAUACCUUCUUUAAUAAAAUUAACCUGUUCUUGUUUAAAAUUCGAUUUUUCUAAAAAAUAUUGCACCGCCUCUAUUCCCUUUAUGUGUGGAAUGUUGCUAUAAAGAGAACUUACAUCACAAGUGACCAAUAUAUAAUUCUCUUCCCAUUUGAUAUCUCCUAAAAUUUGCAAAAUGUGUAUCGUAUCUUUCAAAUACGUUGGAUUCUUAAUUACCACCGGUUGAAGUAGGACAUCAAUAUAUUCCGAGACUCUCGAUGAGAUGCUCUCUACCCCCGAAAUUAUAGGUCUACCUGGUGGGUUGGUUAAAUGUUUGUGCAUUUUUGGCAAACAAUAAAACACUGGAAUUUGGGGAUUUAAAAUAAUUAAGUAUUUGGCUUCUGUCUCUGUUAAAAUAUUGUUUUCUAAUCCUUUAUCAAUAUAUUCUUUAAACUUAAUUGUAAUUUCUUGACUAGGGUUGGAUGUUAAUUUUUUAUAUGUUUUUACAUCCGACAGAAGUCUUUCUGCUUCUCCUACAUAUUUUUCUUUAGAUAGAAUUACCACCCCUCCCCCCUUGUCUGCUGGUUUUAUAAUUAAGUUGUCAUCCUUUUGUAACUUCUUUAAAAUUGUUAAUUCUGCUUGCGUGAGAUUUUUUUGAUAUUUAUUUGUAUGUUUAAUUUUUUUAACUUCUUUCAUAAUCAUGGUCUCAAAGGUUUUGAUUUCGCUUGAGAUCAUAUUCCUUGGAAAGAAUUUUGAUUUUUCUUUAAGAUUACUAUGGAUAUACGGGGAAGUCUUAUUGGUUUCUACUAAUUCUCUAUUAUAAAAAAUUUUUUUCAAACAUAACUGUCUGGUGAAGCGGUUAAGAUCUAUAAAAAAUUCAAAUGGUUUAAAAUCUGCAGACGGA